rnacentral:rRNA from 1 species
UACGAGGGGGGCAAAUGUUGUUCGGAAUCACUGGGCGUAAAGGGAGCGUAGGCGGGCGCUUAAGUUAGGUGUUUAAUCCCGGGGCCCAACCCCGGACAGGCACCUAAAACUGGGCGUCUUGAAUAGUGGAGAGGUCGGCGGAAUUGGGGGUGUAGCGGUGGAAUGCGUAGAGAUCCCCAAGAACACCAGUUGCGAAGGCGGCCGACUGGACACAUAUUGACGCUGAGGCUCGAAAGCAUGGGGAGCAAACAGG